CAGAAAGCACCCCGAAAAUCCAUUUCAGGCAGAAUGGAUAAACGAACUCCAAGAUACCCACGCAACAGGAGAUAGCACAGAGGUGAGAGGAGCAGCAGGAUGGAUAAACCUUACAAACAAAAUAGAAGCAGCGGCACGGCAUCAUGUGUCAUUCUCACAGCUGUUAGGACUUCAAUGAUGUUAUAAGGAAGUUGGGGCUCAGAGAAGCUACAGAACUUACCCAAGGACACACAGCCAUCACGUGAGUGACUGAAGUGUUCGGCUCCAUUUGACUCCUAUGUUAUGUUCUUUGCGUUCUGCCCUAUGGUCUCCGAGAAUGACUGAAAUUUUAAAGAGAUCGGUUCUAUUAUGGGGAGGACAUGUGGGUUUUCUUCUGCUUCCUAAAGAGACAAAGCCCCAGCAACUGAUCAACUGGAGUGGACAGUUCUCUUGUCCCAGGGGAAUCUGGUGCCUGAGAGCUGUCAUUUGAGGAUUCCAGGAGAGUUCUUGUGGAUUUCAAGUGAACUUUCUGAACCUAAAAAUUUGGGAAAUGUAGACUUCCCCAUGAGAAUAUGACUUAAGGAGCAGGAAUAAAAAAACAUGAGCUGUG
rnacentral:lncRNA from 1 species